rnacentral:lncRNA from 1 species
UCAGAACCGUUGCCGAAGAGUGAAGCGGUGGCUGCGAGGACGAAGAUGAUGCCGUUGAUGAUGAAAAGAGGGUUUAAAGUAGGGAGAAAGAAGCGAGCUCCGGUGAAGGAGAUGUUUGAUACUGAUCGGAGCAUCAGUGAUAUGACUCCGACUAAUCCUGAAGAGAUGAUCCAUGUCCACGAGCUUGUCAUUAGUUUUUUUUUUUUUCUUUAAGUUGUUGUGUCUCUCUUUUUUUUU